rnacentral:rRNA from 1 species
AUUGAACGCUGGCGGCAGGCUUAACACAUGCAAGUCGAACGAGCGGCGGACGGGUGAGUAAUGUCUGGGAAACUGCCUGAUGGAGGGGGCUAACUACUGGAAACGGUAGCUAAUACCGCAUACCAUCAGAUGUGCCCAGAUGGGCUUGUCUAGUAGGUGGGGUAAUGGCUAACCUAGGCGACGAUCCCUAGCUGGUCUGAGAGGAUGACCAGCCACACGGGAACUGAGACACGGUCCAGACUCCUACGGGAGGCAGCAGUGGGGAAUAUUGCACAAUGGGCGCAAGCCUGAUGCAGCCAUGCCGCGUGUAUGAAGAAGGCUGUCGGGUUGUAAAGUACUUUCAGCGAGGAGGCGUUACUCGCAGAAGAAGCACCGGCUAACUCCGUGCCAGCAGCCGCGGUAAUUC